CUAAAAAUACAAAAUUAGCUGGGCAUGGUGGCACAUGCCUUUAAUCUCAGCUACUUGGGAGGCUGAGACAGAAGAAUUGCUUGAACUGGGGAGGUGGAGGUUGAGGUGAGCCGAGAUGGUGCCAUUGAACUCCAGCCUGGGCAACAAGAGUGAAACUCCAUCUCAAAAAAAAAAAAAAGAAAAAGAAAAAAGAAAAGAUUUCAAGUGUAAGCAAUUUAUUUUUACAGAAUUAAGCAUUAGGAGAGUACAUAAGUGAAACUGGCCAAGGAUAAAAGUUGUAUUAUGAAGCCAGCUACCAUUGUGCACUGCCAGUGCCUAAUACGUUAGAGCUCUGGAAAAUUGUAUAAAAUAUACGCCUACAAAUUAUUCAACUAGAGGGAUAAGAAAGCUGGCAUUUUCAUAAACCAACUCCUAUCAUUUAUUGUUUGAGGGUUGAAUUGAAUAUGUCAAGUGGAGACAGGGCUAAUUCCCUAGAACCUCCAGCCUGGAGUUUGCAUGGGCAGACUGGUCCUUUAUUUAGUAGAAGGAAACCCUUGGGAAGAGGAUACAAAUACUGCCAGUUGGAAGUCACUGUCUCCUUGGAGCAUGCUGAAAUAAUGAAGUCCAAAGAAUAUGGGUGAGGUACUGUCCCAUAUUAAAUACUGGUGAGAUAAUUUGGCAGGCUGAUGGCAGCAAUGGCCCAACUCUCAACUUCUUCCUGUAUCUAUGCCCUUUGCCAUGUGACUUUGCAUUUCCUCUCACUAUAGAGGAGUGUACUUCUUU
rnacentral:lncRNA from 10 species